GUCGAACGAACUCUGGUAUUGUAUUGGUGCUUGCAUCAUGAUUUACAUUGUGAGUGAGUGGCGAACUGGUGAGUAACACGUGGGAAACCUGCCCAGAAGCGGGGGAUAACACCUGGAAACAGAUGCUAAUACCGCAUAACAACUUGGACCGCAUGGUCCGAGCUUGAAAGAUGGCUUCGGCUAUCACUUUUGGAUGGUCCCGCGGCGUAUUAGCUAGAUGGUGGGGUAACGGCUCACCAUGGCAAUGAUACGUAGCCGACCUGAGAGGGUAAUCGGCCACAUUGGGACUGAGACACGGCCCAAACUCCUACGGGAGGCAGCAGUAGGGAAUCUUCCACAAUGGACGAAAGUCUGAUGGAGCAACGCCGCGUGAGUGAAGAAGGGUUUCGGCUCGUAAAACUCUGUUGUUAAAGAAGAACAUAUCUGAGAGUAACUGUUCAGGUAUUGACGGUAUUUAACCAGAAAGCCACGGCUAACUACGUGCCAGCAGCCGCGGUAAUACGUAGGUGGCAAGCGUUGUCCGGAUUUAUUGGGCGUAAAGCGAGCGCAGGCGGUUUUUUAAGUCUGAUGUGAAAGCCUUCGGCUCAACCGAAGAAGUGCAUCGGAAACUGGGAGACUUGAGUGCAGAAGAGGACAGUGGAACUCCAUGUGUAGCGGUGAAAUGCGUAGAUAUAUGGAAAGAACACCAGUGGCGAAGGCGGCUGUCUGGUCUGUAACUGACGCUGAGGCUCGAAAGUAUGGGUAGCAAAC
rnacentral:rRNA from 2 species